rnacentral:lncRNA from 1 species
UUCGGAAGGCAAUUCACAAGACACUCUAUUCUCUUCGCUUUCAACCGACUCACAAAAACACAGAAGGAAGAUUAUUCCCGAAGCCGUAACAGCUUCCGGCCACACGACACACGCGUCACAGAGCCUCACCGCAACUCAUCAACACACUCCAUCCGACAGGCACUUCAGCAAGCUUCAUUUCAGCUUCAAGAGUUCAAACAUCCUCGUCCAUGCUGUCCUCGUCCCCGUCCUCCAUCACCCUCAUCUUCUUCACGGCCUUGGCCGCCUCGCCGCCGCCGCCGCCGAGGGCGCCGUUGGGCACCUGGAUGAGGAUGUCGGACCUCUGCCCCGUCUCGGCGUUCACCAGCCCGCCGCUGCGGUCCACCCGGUAGGCCAGCUCGUCCUUGUUGGCGGCGUCGAUGUACACCGUGCAGUUCUCGUCGAUCUCCUCCUGGAUCAGCAUCUUGGACAGCUGCGUCACCACCCGCUUCUCGAUCCACCUCCUGAUCGGCCGAGCGCCAUACACCUGCAACAACAAACAGAGUCAGCGUCCGAGUCCAAAGAAGGUGAAAAAAAAUCAGAAAUUUAGUAGUAGGAUGCAGUCACGUACUGGAUCGUAGGCCAGCGACAGGAUGACGUCCAGCGCGGCGUCGGUGACGGCCAGGGCGACGCCGCGCUCGGCGAGCCGGACGGCCACGUCCUUCAUCUGCAGGCGAGCGACCUUCCUCAGCUGCUCGUGGGACAGCGGGUCGAAGACGACGAUCUCGUCCAGCCGGUUCAGCAGCUCCGGCCUGAAGUGCCUCCUCACCUGCGCACACAACCACACACGAAGUUCAGCAUCACAUUGCAGAUCAGAGGUACAUCGGUGCUUCUGUAGUGGAGAUUGAGCUGAUCCACACAUACAUACCUCCUGCAUGACGAGGUCGCGCGCGACCUUCAUGGAGUUCUUGCCGACCAUCCCGGCGAGGAGGUGCUCGGCGCCGAGGUUGGAGGUCAUGAUGAUCACGGUGUUCCGGAAGUCCACCGUCCUGCCUUGCCCGUCGGUCAGCCGGCCGUCGUCCAGCACCUGGAGGAGCGUGUUGAACACCGCCACGUGCGCCUUCUCCACCUCGUCGAACAGGAUCACGCUGUACGGCCGCCUCCUCACCUGCUCCGUCAGCUGCCCGCCCUCCUCGUGCCCGACAUAGCUGCAUUCACAAGAACAAUUUGUAAUCCCAAAUCAGAACCCAAAUUCAGUCUUUGUUUACGGCUAAAAGAAUGCAGCAAUGAACAAAUUUUAGUGGAAAUCAUCAGUGGCUCAGUGUGCUUACCCAGGUGGCGCUCCGAUGAGGCGAGCGACGGAGUGCUGCUCCAUGUACUCGGACAUGUCGAUGCGGACGAGCAGGUUCUCGUCGUCGAACAGCUGCUCGGCGAGGGCCUUGGCGAGCUCGGUCUUGCCUACGCCGGUCGGGCCCAGGAAGAGGAACGACCCGGUGGGCUGCUGCGGCCGUCCAAGCCCCGCCCUGGACCUCAGCACCGCCUCGGCGACGGCGUUCACGGCCUCCGUCUGCCCGACCACCCUCGUGUGCAGCCUGUCCGCCAUGCCCACCAGCCGCUCCUUGUCGUUCUGCCCGAGCCGGGUCACCGGGAUGCCGGUCCACCGGCUCACCACCUCCGCGAUCUGCUCGGGGCCGACGGUCUCGGUGAGCAUCAGGUUCUCGCCGGUCUCGCCCUCCAGCUUGGCGAUGGCGGCGUCGAUCUCCUGGAGGGCGCCGUACUUGAGGUCGGCGACGCGUGCCAGGUCCAUGCGCCGCUCCGCCUCCUGCAGCGUGAACUGCAGCUCCUCGCGCCGCUGCUUCAGCUUCCGGAUCUCGUCGAUCCGCUCCUUCUCCUUGCGGUACUUCAUGGUCAGCGGCUGCAGCUUGUCCCUCAG